CUGAGCUCUCUGUCUCUCUCUCUCCCCUUCUCUGGAAAUAACCAACAAAACCUUGGGAUUAUGUGUUGCGGGGAGAGAUGUGUUUUCAUCUGAGCUGGGGCUCAGGUUACAGCUGCCAGCUGCAGUCCCUGAACUUUCUCCGGCAGCCCUCUCCACUCUUAAGGCGAAGAAACAAGCUUCCAAGGGAGGAAACGUGGCCAGGAAACUGGGAGGCCCCAUGUUCUCUUUCUUUGCUUGAUUUAUUUUUCCUAAAAAAAAAAAGCCACGCGGCAAAAUAAUCCAUAUGGUUACAGAUAUCCACCUGAAGAUGGCGACAUGGCAGGACAACUGGUAAACCCAAGCUUAAGAAACAGCAUGAAGAGAAGCAGAUCACAGUCUCUCCCGGGCUUGAAAGAUAUCAUGUGGAGGGGAAAAUCACAUAUAUUUGGGGGUGGAGGAAAAGGGACCCUCCUAUACUGUUGGUGGGAAUGCAAAUUGGUACAGCCUCUGUGAAUAACAAUAUGGAGUUUCCUUUAAAAAACGAAAACUAGAGCUAACAUAUGACCCUGCAGCCCUACUCUCGGGCAUGCCUCCGGAGAACACUCUAAUUCGGAAAGACACGUGAACCCAGUGUCCAUGGCGGCGCUGUUUACAAUAGCCAAGAUGUGGAAAUGACUUGGAAGGUGAAUGAAUGGAUCAAGGAGAUGUGGUGUGUACAAUGGACUCGUGCUCAGCCACGAGAAAGAAUGAGAGAACGCCAUUUGCAGCGACACGGAUUGAACUCGAGAUUAUCGUAUGAAGCGAAGCUGAAAAGCAUGAGGCCCCUUUGAAGCUGCCCCUUUAGUCAUCCUGAGACAGACCCUCACCCCAGCCCUCCUGUCACCCUCCGGCUUCAGCCUCUUCCAUCAUGUUCAUUCCCCAGCUCCUCAAGCUGGCUCCCUCAUUCUUUGGGCCCCUAGCCCCAUGAUCAUGUUAACUCUGGAUGUAAGCAGAUCUGGGGACCGGAUCCUGACUCCUUGCUCAGCAGGUGCUCCGGGCCAGUGGUCUGUUCCCUC
ensembl:lncRNA